GCAGUAGAUGACUAACUGCUAUUUGCAUGCAUGUUUUAUUUGUGAAUGUGACCUUACAAAUCGAUUUUCAUGUCUCACUGAUGAAGGCACCAAGCGUCAGGGAUAUACCUUAGCAAGAAAGGGAGGUGGAUUAGCUCCAGAAAGGUUUCUUUCCCGUGCCUGCCUGCCUUUCUUUCUUUCCUUUCUUUCCUUUCUCUCUCUCUCUUCCUUCCUUCCUUCCUUUCUUUCUUUCC
rnacentral:lncRNA from 1 species